UGACAAAAAGAAUAAUUGGUCCAAGCAGGAACUAUAAAUGCUGGGAGUUUGGUUAAAGCAGCUGAACUGAAAAUGGACGAAUCCAUCCUCAAGGAUGUACGUGGAAAAGAUUGUGUCGCAAUUGAAGUGCGGUACCACAAACGGUGCUACAAAGAAUGUACAAGAUUUCUGGUGGCUACAACAAGUGAUGAAAGGAUGCCAAAAGCCUGGGAGUAUGCCACUGUGUACACAGAAUUUUGUGACAAAAUAAUUCGGGCACAGUUGAUUAAAAAACAGGAAAUCUUCAGGAUGAAAAAGCUCUCUUCCCUGUUCCAGAAAAUGAUACGAGAACACCAUGGUCAUGGAAGUUACAGAUCAGAUCUUCUGAAGAAAAGACUGAGGCAAGACUUUCCCCAACUAAAUUUCUACAAGCCUCAGG